AGAGUUUGAUCCUGGCUCAGGACGAACGCUGGCGGCAUGCCUAACACAUGCAAGUCGAACGGACUUCCCGGAGCUUGCUCCGGGAAGUUAGUGGCGGACGGGUGAGUAACGCGUGAGUAAUCUGCCUCUGGAUGGGGAACAACAUCGGGAAACCGGUGCUAAUACCGCAUAACAUAUGAGUGUGGCAUCACAUUUAUAUC
rnacentral:rRNA from 1 species